CAGCCCUGAAAAUGGAUGGCGCUGGAGCGUCGGACCUAUACCGGGCCGUCGCGGCAUGAGCUCUCCCCUUUGCGGGAGGGUGCCAAGCGGCGACGAGUAAGAGGGCCGCCGCGGUGAGCGCCGAAGCCUGGGACGCGAGUCUGGGUGGAGCCGCCGCGGGUGCAGAUCUUGGUGGUAGGACC
rnacentral:rRNA from 1 species